AUGCACGCUGGCGGCGUGCCUAAUACAUGCAAGUCGAGCGAACAGACGAGGAGGUUGCUCCUCUGACGUUAGCGGCGGACGGGUGAGUAACACGUGGAUAACCUACCUAUAAGACUGGGAUAACUUCGGGAAACCGGAGCUAAUACCGGAUAAUAUAUUGAACCGCAUGGUUCAAUAGUGAAAGACGGUUUUGCUGUCACUUAUAGAUGGAUCCGCGCCGCAUUAGCUAGUUGGUAAGGUAACGGCUUACCAAGGCAACGAUGCGUAGCCGACCUGAGAGGGUGAUCGGCCACACUGGAACUGAGACACGGUCCAGACUCCUACGGGAGGCAGCAGUAGGGAAUCUUCCGCAAUGGGCGAAAGCCUGACGGAGCAACGCCGCGUGAGUGAUGAAGGUCUUCGGAUCGUAAAACUCUGUUAUUAGGGAAGAACAAAUGUGUAAGUAACUAUGCACGUCUUGACGGUACCUAAUCAGAAAGCCACGGCUAACUACGUG
rnacentral:rRNA from 1 species